rnacentral:rRNA from 1 species
AUUGAACGCUGGCGGCAGGCCUAACACAUGCAAGUCGAGCGGAUGAAGGGAGCUUGCUCCUGGAUUCAGCGGCGGACGGGUGAGUAAUGCCUAGGAAUCUGCCUGGUAGUGGGGGAUAACGUCCGGAAACGGGCGCUAAUACCUCAUACGUCCUGAGGGAGAAAGUGGGGGAUCUUCGGACCUCACGCUAUCAGAUGAGCCUAGGUCGGAUUAGCUAGUUGGUGGGGUAAAGGUCUACCAAGGCGACGAUCCGUAACUGGUCUGAGAGGAUGAUCAGUCACACUGGAACUGAGACACGGUCCAGACUCCUACGGGAGGCAGCAGUGGGGAAUAUUGGACAAUGGGCGAAAGCCUGAUCCAGCCAUGCCGCGUGUGUGAAGAAGGUCUUCGGAUUGUAAAGCACUUUAAGUUGGGAGGAAGGGCAGUAAGUUAAUACCUUGCUGUUUUGACGUUACCAACAGAAUAAGCACCGGCUAACUUCGUG